CUUUUCCUAUUCUCUUCUAAAUCCUUCUUCUCCGCCAAAACUCACCACCAUCUAUUUCUGUGUUUCCAAAGACAAUCUCCCAUUCACUUGAAACACCAACACCACCAAGACCAUCACCACUACCAAAUCUAUUUAUGAACUGCCACCACCGUCAUCAGCAUCAGCACCACCAUAACCACCACCUUCUUUUCUUCCUCUCUUAACAACCACCACCGUCAUUUUUAGUCGAUUUAGAGAAGAAGAAUUUUGAUCAAUUCGAUCAACAUCAUGGAAUAUUAUUCACUAUAAAGAUUUGGUUGCUAUUAGAGAGAGUAGAGACUGACUUCAAUAAAGUAAGAAACCCACAGUGGUUGGUUAAGGCUAUUAAGGAAGCCUCUACUUCGGAGUGGGAGAUGAUGACUUCUUUGAGAACAACAUUUCUCGCUGUGGCUUCCAAAAAUCCAAGUAUGCGACAGUAGCUGUGCAUUGGUUGUUGUUAGUCCUACUCUGAAAUAAUCUUUGGUUGUGGUCGGGGAUGAAUUUACGAAAGUGGGAUGUCCGUUGUUUUUCUUUCCAUGAGACCAUAUAAAGCUGGAAUAAGACUUUGUUAGGAUACACGAAGUGAAGUAUUUUAGUGUGGAUGAUCCCCAGAGAGUUGGCAGGUAUAGUUUGGAUAGGCUUUCUGUACGAUUGAUUCUGUUUCGAUGAAAGUCUUCUCGAGCAUCCAAAGGGAUGCCCCAAAUAUGGUGACAGAAAAACUUAUCCAAUUUUACGAUUGGGUGUUUGUUAUCUUGCUGAAUAGUCUUCUUUUGCAUUUUAAUUCACUACUAAUAUUCACGUAAGAGAAACAAUUUUAAUUCACUGCUAAUUUUUGUGUAAGAGAAACAAUAUUGGCUAACUGGGGUAGCAGAGUGUCAUUUUUCUGCGAA